CCUACGGGUUGCUGCAGUAGGGAAUUUUCGUCAAUGGGCGCAAGCCUGAACGAGCGAUGCCGCGUGAGUGAAGAAGGCCUUCGGGUCGUAAAGCUCUGUUGCGGGGGAAAAAAGGCAGCAUCAGGAAAUGGGUGCUGACUGUUGGUGCCCCGCCAGCAAGUCACGGCUAACUACGUGCCAGCAGCCGCGGUAAUACGUAGGUGGCGAGCGUUAUCCGGAAUGGAUGGGGGUAAAGGGUGCGCAGGCGGUCCUGCAAGUCUGGAGUGAAACGCAUGAGCUCAACUCAUGCAUUGCUUUGGAAACUGGAGGACUGGAGAGCAGGAGAGGGCGGUGGAACUCCAUGUGUAGCGGUAAAAUGCGUAGAUAUCACGCAGAACUCCGAUUGCGAAGGCAGCUUACUAAGCCAUAACUGACACUGAAGCACGAAAGCGUGGGGAUCAAACAGGAUUAGAUACCCCUGUAGUC
rnacentral:rRNA from 1 species